rnacentral:rRNA from 1 species
CGCACAGCUCAGUAACACGUGGCUAACCUGCCCUCGGGACGGGAAUACCCCCGGGAAACUGGGGCUAAUUCCCGAUAGGUGAAGAACUCUGGAAUGAGUCUCCGCCCAAAAGGCGCUUAAAUCAUGCUUUUAGGCGCCGCCCAAGGAUGGGGCCGCGACCGAUCAGGUUGUUGGUGAGGUAAUGGCUCACCAAGCCUUUUACCGGUGCGGGCCGUGGGAGCGGGAGCCCGGAGAUGGGCACUGAGACAAGGGCCCAGGCCCUACGGGGCGCAGCAGUCGCGAAAACUUUGCAAUACACGCAAGUGUGACAGGGCUAUCCCGAGUGCCAUCCGCUGAGGAAGGCUUUUACCCAGUCUAGCAAGCUGGGGGAAUAAGGAGAGGGCAAGUCUGGUGUCAGCCGCCGCGGUAAUACCAGCUCUCCGAGUGGUGUGGAUGUUUAUUGGGCCUAAAGCAUCCGUAGCUGGCCAAGUUAGUCCCCUGUUAAAUCCACUGAUUUAAUCGUUGGUGUGCGGGGGAUACUGCUCGGCUAGGGGACGAGAGAGGCAGACGGUAUUUCCGGGGUAGGGGUGAAACCCUAUAAUCCCGGGAAGACCACCAGUGGCGAAGGCUGUCUGCUAGAACGCGCCCGACGGUGAGGGAUGAAAGCUGGGGGAGCGAACCGGAUUAGAUACCCGGGUAGUCCCAGCUGUAAACGAUGCAGGCUAGGUGUUUGAACGGCCACGUGCCGUUCUAGUGCCGCAGGGAAGCUGUUAAGCCUGCCGCCUGGGGAGUACGAUCGCAAGAUUGAAAUCUUAAA